UGGGAUAUUUUUCGGGAGGCUAGGGUCCCAAAAAAAGCAAUUGCGGCUUUCGACUUUUUUUUUUCCUUCUCUUUCUCUCUCUAACAUUCUCUCUUCUUUCAUGUUGAAUUCAUUUUUAGUUGCUAUAACAACUACGGUGAAUGCUGACAGUUAUUUCUACUCCUGAUACUAUUCAGAGUCCAAAAAAUUUUCAUCUGAUGGCGCUUGAUACUUCUUCACUAAAUACAUGCCUUUCCUUGUUAACCCGGGUUAUCGAGUUUCGAGUUCAAUCGAGCAAGCUUAAGCUAAUUUGAGUCGAGCUUUGACCGAGUCGAGUUCGAGCUGCUCACGAGGUGCUCAACUCGAUUAGCUAAAUGAGUAUACAAAGUGACAUUUGGAAGUUCACCUGUCUAUAGGGAGUGGCAAGAAUCAAGCUCAUGACACCUUCGCUUUAAUAGUUCCAACUCAUAUUGUCACCAAUGCAUCUCAACUUCCCGAGGAACUUUUGAAUCCCAGUCCUAAUAGGCAAUUUGUUGUUGGAUUUGAUUGUGAAGGUGUAAAUCUCUCACGUCAUGGAAUUCUCUGCAUUGUGUAGGUUCUAUAUGCACCUCUUUUUUCAAUUGUGAAAACCUUGCAAUGCGGGCUUCAAUAUCAUACCUCUUUUUUUUUUUUAAAAUUAUUUAAAUUAGAUUGUUGCAACUCAGAACUCUUUACAUUAUGCAAGUUCCAUCUCCCCCUCUUUAAUUUGUUCAAUUUUUUAAAUACAUGGCAAUGCAGGCUACAUGCCUACAACGUACCUCCUUUUUCUUUAGUUGCAACUUUUGGUGGUGGGGGCAGGCGGGCAUGUGUUUUACGAUUCCAUGUAGUAAGGAGAGAGAUAGAAAGAGAACGUAAAAGGGCCCAUGUCUUGGGAAGAGAGAUAGAAAGAAACCAUUCAAACCAAUAGUUUAAAACGGUAUGUUGUAAGACUUGUAACGAAUUCAAAACAGCCGAUAUAGGGAAGUGUUCAGCUAGGAAAAAUAAAAAAUAAAAAAAAAUAAAUUGGAGGAAGUAUUUAUCAUGUCAUCUGAAAUUAUAUUUUGAUAUUCUGUAUUCAGUUAGUCGUAGAACAAGUAAGAUUUUUAUUAGUGAAUUUAGGAAAGCCAGCUUAAACAUAAGAAAAGAAACUUUCACUGGGUUGAAAUAGAAUUGGUAUCUGUUGCAUGUAGAACUAACGUUUAUGGACAGUUUCUAGAAAACAAAUUGUCUGAGUAGGCGUUGCAUGUUUAAUUACUUUUCGAUAAUGGUCUUGAAAUAGAGGAACAUUCUCUGGUUAAAUCUUCCCAUGUUUGAAUGGGGAAAUCUUGAUGGUCCUUGACUCCUUUUGAGAAUAUAUUUUCAACUGUCAAUGUCUGAGUAGGCGUUGCGUUGCAUUAUAUUUUCAGUUUGGUAUUAAGUUGCACGAUGUAGUGGAUACACAGGUCAAUGUCUAAGUUGGUUACAUCUUUAAUGCAAUCUAUUAGUAAAAAGUUUAUCCAACAUCCUGUUAUAUGUCCUUUCCUUGUUCCUUUUCCUGUUAAAGAAAUAAAUUCUUUUUGAAUUAGAGUCUGCUGUUGGUAAAAUUCUCAUUCCUAUACUGUAUGGAUGGUUACGUGUCAUGUUACUAGCUCUGCCUUUUGAGAGCUUUCGUAGCUUGUUCAGAUCCAUGCUUAGAUACCUUUGUGUUAAACAAGAAUAUAUGAUUUUUUUUUUUCUCAAGCACGCAGCUGGAUAUGAAAUGCCUUUUCCUAUUUCUUCGAUUUUGAUCGGAUAGGAGUGUCAAUUGUCUUCUUUCUCUGUGUUAAUCAUUGUCUAUUACCUACAUCAAAUAUUAAAUAUUGGCUGGGCUUAUGACUUUCCUAUUGCAAAGCUGGUGUUGCUAAUAUCUUUUUUGCAUGGGUAUUUCACUUAUACAAACCAAAUUUGUUUGUUCAAUGAAGUUUAUGCUUAGAGCUGAUGAACAUGCAGUAUUGAGCUAUAAGUGGAGUGCAAAAUCGAAGGCUCAUGUUGAUGUGUCCAAUUUUGCUCCACACAGAUUGCAUACUUGUUCAGGAACAACAAGGUCUGGCUCAACCAUUAGAUGAUCGCAUUUCAUUCAUUGGCUUGCUUGCUGAUCAUCGUUUUUGCGGUGAUUUUUGGAAGUGGAAAAGUUCCGGAACAAGAGAUACUAUCAAUCAUUGAUGUCACAUCUGGGAAAAUGGGAUGCAUUAUUGGAAAAAGGGGAGCUACAAUCCAGUAUAUAUAAGAUUCGUGCAAAACACUCCACAACAAUGCACAGGUGGAAACUCAAAGAAGGCCAUAUUGAUACAUGUAUUAGAAUACGAGUGUCAGACUCGAUAUUGGUUCUUGAGUUUGGCUUGGAUCAUUAAUUUGAAGAUGCGGGGACAUAGUGUCGAGUUCCCACAAAAUCAUGAUCAAGACAUGCGCUAGGUAUUCAUCAUAGGAACAACGAAGCAAGUGAGAAAGGCGGAAGCCAUGCUGAGAGGAAGCCAGUAAGGAUGUAAAGAUUGUUCAGACUCAUAUUGUGGCUAUUUAGGUUUCAUGAUCUGGACUCAUUAGUAUCUCAAUUAUAACCUAAUAUACUAAACCUCCUAAUUGAUGCUAUUUACAGAACCCUCCUAACUGAUCCAUGAUUGUAAAUCAGUAAGAAAGAAAUGAAUUCUUACAAGUACAUUAUUUAAGAGAAGUGGUUCUCCUCUAUCCCUUUGGGCUUUGGCUAAAUUGUUAUGCGUGGAAAUAGAUUUCCAAUAGUGAAAAAUCGUUAUUCUAAGGGCUGAAUCAAAAGGUAGGAAUGUUAUAUUUCCCCCUCUAUUUCUUGCUUUAAUUCCCCUAUCAUCUUCUUUUCAUUUUGUCUUUUGUAUUUAACUUUCCAUCAAAGGAACCAAAUAAAGGAAAAACAAUCUAUACUUU